AACGGUCUAUACCUGCGGUACCUGCGGAGGGAUCAUUACAGAGUUCGUGCCCGUCUGGGUAGAUCUCCCACCCGUUGUCAUUACUACAAUCGUUGCUUUGGCGGGCCGUCGGGCCCCGCCCGGCCGCCGGCCUUGGGGCUGGUGCGUGCCCGCCAGAGGCCCCAUAGACUCUGAAUGUUAGUGUCGUCCGAGUACUACAUAAUAGUUAAAACUUUCAACAAUGGAUCUCUAGAUCGGAAG
rnacentral:misc_RNA from 1 species